GACGAACGCUGGCGGCGUGCUUAACACAUGCAAGUCGAACGGAAAGGCCCUGCUUUUGUGGGGUGCUCGAGUGGCGAACGGGUGAGUAACACGUGAGUAACCUGCCCUUGACUUUGGGAUAACUUCAGGAAACUGGGGCUAAUACCGGAUAGGAGCUCCUGCUGCAUGGUGGGGGUUGGAAAGUUUCGGCGGUUGGGGAUGGACUCGCGGCUUAUCAGCUUGUUGGUGGGGUAGUGGCUUACCAAGGCUUUGACGGGUAGCCGGCCUGAGAGGGUGACCGGCCACAUUGGGACUGAGAUACGGACCAGACUCCUACGGGAGGCAGCAGUGGGGAAUAUUGCACAAUGGGCGGAAGCCUGAUGCAGCAACGCCGCGUGCGGGAUGACGGCCUUCGGGUUGUAAACCGCUUUCGCCUAUGACGAAGCGUGAGUGACGGUAAUGGGUAAAGAAGCACCGGCUAACUACGUG
rnacentral:rRNA from 1 species